GACGAACGCUGGCGGCGUGCUUAACACAUGCAAGUCGAACGGUGAAGCGCCUUCCUUUUUGGUUGGUGUGGAUGAGUGGCGAACGGGUGAGUAACACGUGAGUAACCUGCCCCCUUCUUCUGGAUAACCGCAUGAAAGUGUGGCUAAUACGGGAUAUUCUGGGUCUGUCGCAUGAUGGGUCUGGGAAAGAUAUUGUUUCGGUGGGGGAUGGGCUCGCGGCCUAUCAGCUUGUUGGUGGGGUGAUGGCCUACCAAGGCGGUGACGGGUAGCCGGCCUGAGAGGGUGGACGGUCACACUGGGACUGAGACACGGCGCAGACUCCUACGGGAGGCAGCAGUGGAGAAUAUUGCACAAUGGGAGCAAGCCUGAUGCAGCGACGCCGCGUGAGGGAUGGAGGCCUUCGGGUUGUGAACCUCUUUCGCCAGUGAAGCAGGCCUGCCUCGUUUGUGGGUGGGUUGACGGUAGCUGGAUAAGAAGCGCCGGCUAACUACGUG
rnacentral:rRNA from 1 species